rnacentral:lncRNA from 1 species
GAAGCUCUACGAAGGAGGAGACAUUCCAACAUACUACUCAAGCCAUACCCUGAUUGAUCCACCGAUUCCUACUACUACAGGUGUAUAAAUUCUAACCGUCAAGCUAAUGACGUUAAACAAGCGCUGCGUGGGAGGCAACCCAUGGUUUUUCUUUUCAUUUUACUUUUUUUCGCAUUUAUUUACAUUUAUUUUUAUUUUUA